CACACAGUGGCCCUUCAUGGCCACCGACAGUGAAGUCGCACAGCACUCGUCAUUGGCUGCUCCUUCCGCUGCUGCCGUGGUCCGGGUGAGCCUCUUCCUCCUGAUGGCUGCCAUCCUCUGCCACUUCUUUGCCAUCUGAGCAAGCCUCUUGGCACUAACCAUGUUUCUUUUCUCCUCCCUGUAUUUCUUGCUUGGCUAGGUGUAGUAAUGCUGCUUUGGUUUCUAAAUGAACUGAUGUGGUGGUGGUGGUGGUGCUAAUCUGAUGGACUUAUAUAUAGGAGUGAGGGAGAAAGAAAAGUGAACAAGUCAGUUUAGGUGCAGCUAUCCUGACAGGUUGGCAAGGGACAUGGCCAUGAGCUUAGAACAUGCAAUGCUAACUGCAAGAGUGCAAUGUGAUCUUGAUUGAUUUGUCUGUGGCCAUUAGUUUGCCAUACUGAUAUGUUUCAGUGGCAAAUAGUAUAAGAAGCAUACGACUGUGGAGACCAUGUGUCAAUUGGGUCCAUUUCUGUUUCUGAUUGCAAAACCACAUGCAGACUAAUCAUUUUGGGUGCUGGAUUAAUCAUAUACGGAGUAUUAACGGAAUGCACCCUGAGAUCGAGAUACUUUAGUGUGAGAGUUGCUCAUGCAACAAGAAGAUAAGAUCUCUUCAAUGGUCCACACACCUAGCUAGCACCAAGAUUACAAGUAGCUCAUGAUCGUUAUUAAGUGACAGAAUCUCUUCACUGGUCAAGACACUUGGCUGUAAGAUUACAAGUAGCUCAUGUUUGGUAGCUGAACUAUUGUUUUUUUACAUGAUUUGUUUUCAAAAAAGAAAAAAUGCGAGGAAAAGGAAUUUAUAUUUGUCUGAACAUAAUGAGAUCGAUGUCCUGUGGUAAAAUUCGAAUCAUUUUUGCAGGAGUGGACUUUA
rnacentral:lncRNA from 1 species